UACGUAGGGUGCGAGCGUUAAUCGGAAUUACUGGGCGUAAAGCGUGCGCAGGCGGUUCGUCGUGUCCGAUGUGAAAGCCCCGGGCUUAACCUGGGAAUGGCAGUGGAAACUGGGGGACUUGAAUUGAGCAGAGGGGGGUGGAAUGCCGCGUGUAGCAGUGAAAUGCGUAGAGAUGCGGCGGAACACCGAUGGCGAAGGCAGCCCCCUGGGCUUAAAUUGACGCUGAGGCACGAAAGCGUGGGGAGCAAACAGG
rnacentral:rRNA from 1 species